GGUAAACUCAUCAGCUCCUUUGGCUUCCAUUGCCAUUUAUAUGCAGAUGACACACAAAUCUACCUGUCUUCUCCUGAUCUUUCUCUGCCCGUCUUGACUCGUAUCUCUGGCUACCUCUCCAUGAUUUCCAACUGGAUGGCUGCUCACUUCCUUAAACUCAACCUGUCCAAAACAGAACUUCUGGUCUUUCCUCCCUCAAGUGUUGCUACUCCUGUGUCUGUCUCCCUCCAAGUCUUUGUCUCCGACCUCUCCUUCACCCUUCAUGUCCAGUCGAUUGCCAAAUCCUGCUGCUUCCAUCUAAAAAACAUAGCUUGAAUGCACCUUUAUUUAACACCAAGUGCUGGUCCAUGCCAUUGUUCUUUCUCAUCUUGAC